UAGGGAAUCUUCCGCAAUGGACGCAAGUCUGACGGAGCAACGCCGCGUGAGUGAAGAAGGAUUUCGGUUCGUAAAACUCUGUUGUUAGAGAAGAACAGCGCAUAGAGUAACUGUUAUGCGUGUGACGGUAUCUAACCAGAAAGCCACGGCUAACUACGUGCCAGCAGCCGCGGUAAUACGUAGGUGGCAAGCGUUGUCCGGAUUUAUUGGGCGUAAAGCGAGCGCAGGCGGUCAAUUAAGUCUGAUGUGAAAGCCCCCGGCUCAACCGGGGAGGGUGAUUGGAAACUGGUUGACUUGAGUGCAGAAGAGGAGGGUGGAAUUCCAUGUGUAGCGGUGAAAUGCGUAGAUAUAUGGAGGAACACCAGUGGCGAAGGCGACUCUCUGGUCUGUAACUGACGCUGAGGCUCGAAAGCGUGGGUAGCAAACAGG
rnacentral:rRNA from 1 species